AUUGAACGCUGGCGGCAUGCUUUACACAUGCAAGUCGAACGGUAACAGGGUGCUUGCACCGCUGACGAGUGGCGAACGGGUGAGUAAUGCGUCGGAACGUGCCGAGUAGUGGGGGAUAACGCAUCGAAAGGUGUGCUAAUACCGCAUACGUACUGAGGUAGAAAGUGGGGGACCUUCGGGCCUCACGCUAUUCGAGCGGCCGACGUCUGAUUAGCUAGUUGGUGAGGUAAAGGCUCACCAAGGCGACGAUCAGUAGCGGGUCUGAGAGGAUGAUCCGCAGCACUGGGACUGAGACACGGCCCAGACUCCGACGGGAGGCAGCAGUGGGGAAUUUUGGACAAUGGGCGGAAGCCUGAUCCAGACAUGCCGCGUGUCUGAAGAAGGCCUUCGGGUUGUAAAGGACUUUUGUCCGGGAGCAAAUGCCUGGUGUUAAUAGCACUGGGAGCUGAGAGUACCGGAAGAAUAAGCACCGGCUAACUACGUGCCAGCCGCCGCCGUAAGAC
rnacentral:rRNA from 1 species